UAGUAAAGCAGCAAAUGGAAUGUAACCAUGAAUGGAACUGAAAGACUAUAGUCCUUCUCUAUGGAAAAAAAAUACUACAGAGCUGAGUGGUAAGUUCUGUACAGAGGAGUAUAAACUGAGGAGAGUAUUAGAAAGCAUUCCUACAAAGCAGGACUAGUUUAGUUCUUAGUGAAGUAACAAAUUUUAAAAAUUUAAUAAAUCUUUAUUUAGUGAUCUUUGAUAAUAUGGGAAGUACAUUAUAUGUAGUUCUAUAAAUGAAGUAUCUAUUUCUACAUAAUUUUUAGAUUUACAGCCAUAUAGGUUGUUAGCCAAGGUCUAAAUGUAAGUGAUUAAAAUAAUGAGCAAACAUUUCAGAAUGCAGGUAAUGCAUUGUAAUUGGUUCUGCCUCAUGGCAACAAAUGAUGAUUUAAAUGAUCAUUUAACCAGUACCUAUUUAGUUAUAUAUAGCUAUAUAUAUACACACACUUACAGUUUCCUUUAGGAGAUGCAAAGGAAAUACCUCUUUUCUAUAAAACCCACAUUUUAAUGUUUGUAGGGUGACUUAACAGCUUAACCCCCCUAAGGAUGGUGUCUGGUUUUGUAGGUAAAUCCAGAUUCAGAGUAGAAUCUUUCAAAACUCAGCAAAUUCCUCUUUGAGUCCUACCUACCUUAGAGGCUUAUCAUGUGAGGGGAUGAAUAACUCUUUGACAGUACCAUUACUCUUCAUGGAUAAAUAGUCCUCUUGUUCAUCAUGGUCCCUAGAUUUUAGAUACCCAAAGUAAGGAGGGAUUAAUUAUCCUUAAAGUCACUAUGUUCCUUAGAGGAUUAAAAAAUGAAAAGUCAGCACAUUAUUUUUCUUACAUACAAGAUCAGAAGAAAUCCUGAAAAAAAGUAUUCUAAUAUUGUCUCAUUGUGGCUGCCUAUUCUAUAUAUGACACCACUUUAUAAACUGCACAAAUCUAUUCUUGCAACCUACAGAUACUCUAAAUGACAAAAUAAAAUUGAGCAUCAAUAUAGAAAACAUACUGCAUUUAUCAUGCAGAAAUAAUUUCUAUCUAUAAACACAUUCUAAAUUGAACUAGACAAGGCUCAUAUCACAUAAAAAAAAUAAAGUAACUAGACAUUUAAUUCACAGGAAGUAACAUGAUCAAAGAUAAAGUCUAAAUGACAAACAGUCAGUAAUUGUCUCUGUAAAAUUACUGGCAGUAAGAUUUUAUGUCAUUGUUAUCAUAUUGGUAAAACUUUCUACAGUAUAAAAGUAUACACUAAAUAUUGUGUUGUAAAAAUCCCUGUGGUAUGAGUCAUAAAAAAACCCCAGCAGAAACAGGUGUCUCUAUUACCUGACAGCUCUACAAGGCUUUGAAAUCAGAAACUGAUCUGCACAACCAUAAGUGUAGCAUGCCUUUAAAUAAGUAGAUGUGUGAGACCAUUUUACUUAUAAUGAAAUACAGUAAAAUGUUCUUUUGACAGAACAUUUUAUUCUGAGUCCCUAUUUCUAUAUUUCAUCCUAAAAAUCACUUUUAUAAAUUACAAGUGUCACAGAGACCAGUGUGACUUAAAAACCAAAUCUCAAUCCAUGAAAAGACUCCUAACUUAAAUAGGCUGUUUUGCUUUUAAAUCAACUGGAAACCCAGACCAAAUUCCCUUUAACAUAUUCAGUGUGCCUAAGCUGAUUUUGGUUUCAUUUCAACACAGCAAAUAGUACUGGUGACAGGCAAUAACAUGAAACUCAAGAGAUUUUGGCCGUGAUUCUUGCAGAAUCUGGAGAAUUACUAAGUCUGAAGUAUGUGAAACCGGUACAAAAGUGAAGGAAUUAUCCAUGCUAACCUUUUCAUGCCUAAUUAUUUACCAAAGUGAAAGGUUUUUGCUAUAUUCAUAAAACUAAAAUCCCAGUUUUUACAACUGUACUGAACAGGAAGGGGACCUCUCCUGUUAAAUGCAGAGUGAUUGAACAUUGGAGACUGGAAAUGCUGGUUGAUAAAAAUGGCUGGUGCCUGUCCCAGAGGAGGUUCUCUCUGAACACAGACUCUGAUAGCUGGAUUAACACACUGAAUAAAUAAGGAUGAUGACUGUUUAGAUAUUACUACUGGCAAUUUCUUUCUACUCAUUCCUCUGGAAUACUCCUAUUGGUUUAGGAGGAGAGGACAGAACAAAUUAACCAUAAAUCCUAUGCUUAAUUCCACAUUUAAAGAGGCUCCUUUGCUGCAGUGGGAGCUGCCACUGCAAUGAGAAAUUGUGUGUGUGAGGACAGUGUCCCAUGGCUGUGUAUCUGUAAAUCUCUUUACACCAAACACUGCCUGGGCCAGGCUGUGACCUCAGGCAAGAAGGAGAUUGCUUGACUUUCAUAUAAAAAAGCAUGUUGCAUGAUAACUGGAAAAUUAUGUUUGCAUUAUUCCAGUAGUUGGACCAAAUAAAGAGCUGUUGUGAUGUAAUCCCAGAGACACAUCUCAGGUACUUGCUUUGAUCUGCAGAACACUGUCAAAUGAGUAGCAUAAUCCAGAAAUCAUCUAGGAAAACUGCCUUUUGUCCUUAAAACUAACAUUCAAAAGUAUUGCUUGUAGGUGUUAUUUCACACUUUGCACAACAAAUAUGUUUCAUUUAUACAAAUGUACAUUUUCACUCAAUAUUUACACUCUUCAUACACACCCAUUAUUAAUGUAACCCUUACUUCCUAUUGUAGAAUGGAUUUUUACCUGUAGCAUAAGGUUUAUCCAGAAGCAACUGCUUGACUAGAAUGAAAAAUGUAAAAAUCACAUUUUCAAACAAUGACCUACAUGAAUCACUUGUGGUUGGUGACAGAAAACAAUGUGGUUAUAGUUCACUGUAAGAUCUUUCAAUUCUUGGAUUAAAGUUUUCUGGCAAAAUGUUCACUAGCUUGAAUUAAUUGUGAUAACCACUUAGUCAGUAAAACAAAGUACACAUACACAAUUCCAUGAGAAUUCCUCAAGUCUUUACCAGCAUGGACAAAUUGCAAUAGAAAAUCUUUUAAGGAUUUACUGGAAAAGGCAAACUCAGCUGUUAGCCUAAGAGUCUGUCCUAAAAUGCAAUAGUUUAGUUAAACUACAUAGGAGAAGCCUUCAUGGUGCUCUCUGCACUUGACUGCAGCCAAUACUAUUAAUCCUCUAAUGUCAUAAAUACUGUAGGAAAGACAUGCUAAUAAAAAAGACAGCACUGACACCAUUUAUCAUGUGUAGGAGUAUAUAAAUAAUGCAGAAAUCUCUCUCACUUUUACAAGAAAAUCAGCUUUACAACAAUUUUCUGAGAGAAUUGACUGUAUUUUCACUGCAAAAAUAUUUAUACUCUGAAAAGUCUUUUUAAAUAACCACAUGAUUUUAAUUGUCAUUAUUAUAUCUAUGUCAGCUUUUAAUGAAAGACUUAUGGAUGUGUAAUUAAUGUUCCUGCUAUCUGUUCUGUUUGUGGGAAGGUUUGAUUUAAUAAUGAAAUCUGCUCCAUUUGAAAAAUGCAUUUCAGCCUAAUGUCAGAGCUUUGAAAACCUGGAUUGGUUUGAUAUCUAAAAUGACUUAUAGUUGGGAAAAUGGGUUUUCUCCUAAUUAAGACACAUUACAAUGAGAAUAAAAUAUAAAUGAAAUACUUUUCCCAAUUACAAUGAGAUUGUUUAAAUCAACUACUGCUAACAAAAAUGCCCAAGUUACAUAUAUUUAGAAAAGAUUUAGCAAAUAGCAAAUUGUUUUCUGAUACAAGCCUGCUGCAGAGCACUCUGUAUGGAACCCCACUGUCUGGAUUUUAAAGGCACUGGUGGAAUUUACAGAGUCCAUACAUCGCAUUCCUAAAAUGUUGAUAAAGACUGAGUUUCUGUUACUUACAUCAAAUUUUUAAAGGUUGUCAAAAUAAAUACUGCAAGGUAAAACUCAGCAAAAUGCAGCAUUGUUUUUAGCAGAAUCUCUAUUUCCCAGGUAUUUGUAAAAUUGAGUUGUUCAGCCCAUUUCCUAUUAUGAAGAAAUCCUUUCUAAUUCUGAGUUAUGGAUAGUGGCAAUACCCAUUAAGAAGUAGACAAUAAGUAUAGUGGUGGCUUUGGCUCAAAAUCUAAAUCCUAAACCUGUAUAACAUUGUAGAAGUAGGUUUUUUUAAUGGUAUAUGAAUGUCUUAUUCUUUCCUGUGCAACCUGUGCUUUUGCAAGGAGCCCUGCAACCUUCAUUGAACAUAAUUCAGUGAUGGAACUCCCCAGAGGAGCAGGACUGCCUGGAUACAAUGCCACGUAGAACUGAGGAAUUUUUAUUCUUUUUACUCAACAGAAAAUAAAUAAAAGAUGGCAAAGGAAAGUGUGAAUACACAGAAAUGUGAGAUGCUGUGACUAAGCACAGGAGUGUAACCAUGGGAAAUUUUUCCUACAAAUCAUCUCUUUGCAUGGAGCAUUAAAUGUAUUUCCUCCACAGAACUCAAACCAACCUCCUGAUGUAAUAUUAAAGAGAAAACUGAUAAAGAGGAAAUGAAGCAGGGGAACAGAAAAACAAAGUGAGAAAUGAAAUCCAAGUUUCUAAUGCAGCGAUGUAAUGCCAAGAAACUGCUCCAGAGAAAAUGAAUAACUGCCAGCUUUUUUACCUGUUGCCAAGAAAAUGUUGCUGUGUUCACUGAUCCUGUAAUUAAACUGAGUAUGUUCUGAAACAA